rnacentral:rRNA from 1 species
UACAGAGACUGCAAGCGUUAUUCGGAUUCACUGGGCGUAAAGGGUGCGCAGGCGGCCAAGUGUGUCAGGUGUGAAAUCCCGAGGCUUAACCUCGGAACUGCGCCUGAAACUACUUGGCUAGAGUACUGGAGAGGGUAACGGAAUUCACGGUGUGGCAGUGAAAUGCGUAGAUAUCGUGAGGAACACCAGAGGCGAAGGCGGUUACCUGGACAGUUACUGACGCUCAGGCACGAAAGCGUGGGGAGCAAAAGGG